CCCAACAUUCUCAUCAACAAACAGAAGCAACGGUUUAGCAAUUGUACCAACCAAACCCUAAUUUCAUUUCAAACCCAGAAACGAACACUUUUUUAAAAAGGCAAACACUAGACCAGUGGUGCCUCCUUCCUCUUACCUAAACCCAGCACAAGAAAUCCCCAAAAACCAAAAGAUUGAACCUUUACUCCCCCAAAAAAAUGAAGCAAAUUUCACAAACAAAAAAUCUCAACAAAGUGAACGGCUUUUACACUAGAUUCUCUCAAAUUGAAACACACUACACAAAGAAUCGCAUGUAAAAGUAUCAGUCAAACACAAAUUAAUCAAAAAAAUGAGUGAUCCAGCUCUAAAAUGAACGGAUUAAGUAUAUACGUACCUUGAUCGAAAGGCCUCGACUGUGCGAUUACGAUUGAACAAAAAACAAAGCUAGAUCGAUUUACCAAAAGAAACUCCAAUGCGCGAUUGUAAGUAAACCCUCUUCCGUUGAACGCAUAAACGAGUACUUUUACAGAGAGAAAGAGAGUAUAACAAAGAAGACGAAGAACAAACAAUGAAUGAAUAUCUAGUCUUCGUCUAC
rnacentral:lncRNA from 1 species